AAAAGUGCUGGGCAGGUGAGACUCACGCGAUGAAGGAGAUCACAAACUUCAAAGGAUGCCCGCCCCACUGGCCUGUUCUUCAUGCCCUCUACCCGAAUGCUUGGAGACUGGGAAAAGUUGAAACUGAAGAGACAGCAUUCCUGAAGAGGGGUGAUCCACCUGACACAUGCAGUCUCUUGUCCAGUGUGGAGACCACUCCACUAGUGCUGUUUGGGGAAUGGCUUGGUUUGGAGAACGGUGGCAGAGACACAGUGGUGUAAUCAAAGGGUCACUUCUUGAAAUGCAAGACCGGCUGAUUCAGCAUUGUAGAACCCACUGUACUUUAAGGCACUGGAUAACUGGUUUGUAUUGUACUGUAUGUGCUGUACUAUUUGUAU